UGGCUCGCGCCCAUAGUCUGGAGAAUCAGCCGCCAGGGUUGCGUUGCGGUAUGCCCCGGUUCGAGCCAAAGCGCGGCUCGUAUUGGCCGGUUUCCGCGACAAGCGAGGUUUGGCAGCCCCGUCAUUUCCAAGACCCCGCUAGCCGACUUCGCCAGUUUACGGGAGCGAGCCCUUUUUU
rnacentral:ncRNA from 1 species